UCCCUGGUGGUCCAGUGGUUAGGACAUUGCCUUCCAAUGCAGGGAUGUGGGUUCGAUCCCUGGUUAGGGAG
rfam:Ovis aries breed Texel chromosome 15, whole genome shotgun sequence.